rnacentral:misc_RNA from 1 species
GAUGGAAGAACGUAGCGAAAUGCGAUAAGUAGUGUGAAUUGCAGAAUUCAGUGAAUCAUCGAAUCUUUGAACGCACAUUGCGCCCUUUGGUAUUCCUUAGGGCAUGCCUGUUCGAGCGUCAUUUCAACCCUCAAGCCCUGCUUGGUGUUGGGCGUUUGUCCUGCCUCCGCGCGGGACUCGCCUCAAAGACAUUGGCGGCCGGUUUCCCUUUGCAGGCCACGAGCGCAGCACAGCGAGCGCUCUACGUGGACGCGGGGUCGGCGCACCAGAAGCCCUCUUUCUCGAAUUUUGACCUCGGAUCAGGUAGGGAUACCCGCUGAACUUAAGCAUAUCAAUAAGCGGAGGA